GUACUGCGCUCCUGUGUGCUUUUUACCUUUAGCCAGUCCUCUGCUACCAUAUUUAACACCGAUGUAACAGCUGGAAAAACGAAAACUACGACUCUAAUGAUACAGGUGAUAAUCGGCAGAGUAUAUUGCAAGUUAUCUAUCAAUAGCAUGAUAUUAGAACGGAUUCUUAUCAAGGAAUGUAUCGAAGGUGAUCGCGUGUAACAGAACGCCAACAAAAAAUUGCAUAUCGACUGCGACACUCUCACGCAGUUUACAACGUAUGAAAUGUCAAUGCUUGUCAUAAUGAAUAAAAAAGGUCUAUACCAAAUGAGACUUACAUUGUUUUUGGCCUUUAGUAUAAUAACAAGGCUCAAUAAAAGACGAGAUCCACUUCGACGCAAAAGCAACAGUUGUUUUAAAACCAUACGCUGUAAGACUAGAUGUCUUAAAUAAUAUGUGCGCCCAAUAUCUCCUAGCAAUCCCAAAAUAAUGCGAAUAGUAAUGGAGAAC